rnacentral:rRNA from 1 species
UAACGGCGAGUGAAGCGGCAACAGCUCAAAUUUGAAAUCUGGCUCACGCCCGAGUUGUAAUUUGUAGAGGAUGUUUCGGGUGAAGCCACGGUCCAAGUCCCUUGGAACAGGACGUCAUAGAGGGUGAGAACCCCGUACCUGGCCGUCGGUGCCCCCCGCUGUGAAACUCCUUCGACGAGUCGAGUUGUUUGGGAAUGCAGCUCUAAAUUGGUGGUAAAUUCCAUCUAAAGCUAAAUACCGGCCAGAGACCGAUAGCGCACAAGUAGAGUGAUCGAAAGAUGAAAAGCACUUUGAAAAGAGAGUUAAAAAGUACGUGAAAUUGUUGAAAGGGAAGCGCUUGCGGCCAGACUUGCCCGCGGUUGCUCAGCCCGCCAUUUGGCGGGUGCACUCUUCCGCGGUCAGGCCAGCAUCGGUUUGGGCGGUCGGAUAAAGGCGCUGGGAACGUGGCCUCCCCUCGGGGAGGUGUUAUAGCCCGGCGUGCAAUGCGGCCAGCCUGGACCGAGGUUCGCGCUUUGCUAGGAUGCUGGCGUAAUGGCCGUAAGCGGCCCGUCUUGAAACACGGACCAAGGAGUCUAACAUCUAUGCGAGUGUUUGGGUGUCAAACCCGUGCGCGUAAUGAAAGUGAACGGAGGUGGGAACCGCAAGGUGCACCAUCGACCGAUCCCGACGUCUUCGGAAGGAUUUGAGUAAGAGCAUAGCUGUUGGGACCCGAAAGAUGGUGAACUAUGCGUGAAUAGGGUGAAGCCAGAGGAAACUCUGGUGGAGGCUCGCAGCGGUUCUGACGUGCAAAUCGAUCGUCAAAUUUGCGUAUAGGGGCGAAAGACUAAUCGAACCAU